CCUACGGGAGGCAGCAGUAGGGAAUCUUUCACAAUGGGCGAAAGCCUGAUGGAGCAACGCAGCGUGCAGGAUGAAGGCCCUCUGGUUGUAAACUGCUUUUAUAAGCGAGAAAUAUGAUGGUAACUUAUGAGUAAGGAUCGGCUAACUACAUGCCAGCAGCCGCGGUCAUACGUAGGAUCCGAGCAUUAUCCGGAGUGACUGGGUGUAAAGAGUUGCGUAGGUGGCAUAAUAAGUAGCUAGUGAAAUCUGGUGGCUCAACCAUUCAGACUAUUAGCUAAACUGUUAAGCUCGAGACCGUUAGGGGUAAGUGGAAUUUAUAGUGUAGGAGUGAAAUCCGUAGAUAUCAGAAGGAACACCAAUAGCGUAGGCAGGUUGCUGGGACGGUUCUGACACUAAGGCACGAAAGCGCAGGGAGCAAACGGGAUUAGAUACCCCAGUAGUC
rnacentral:rRNA from 1 species